GGGGGGGGGGGGGGGGGGGGCGGGGAGGUGCAGGGCGGGCGGGGGGGGGGGGGUGCUUGCGCCUUUCGAGUGGGUGGCGAAGGGGGGGGUAACGCGGGGACAACCUGCCUCAAGGCUGGGGAUAACAUUUGGAAACAGAUUCUAAUACCGAAUAAAACUUAGUGUCGCAUGACACAAAGUUAAAAGGCGCUUCGGCGUCACCUCGAGAUGGAUCCGCGGUGCAUUAGUUAGUUGGUGGGGUAAAGGCCUACCAAGACAAUGAUGCAUAGCCGAGUUGAGAGACUGAUCGGCCACAUUGGGACUGAGACACGGCCCAAACUCCUACGGGAGGCUGCAGUAGGGAAUCUUCCACAAUGGGCGAAAGCCUGAUGGAGCAACGCCGCGUGUGUGAUGAAGGCUUUCGGGUCGUAAAGCACUGUUGUAUGGGAAGAACAGCUAGAAUAGGAAAUGAUUUUAGUUUGACGGUACCAUACCAGAAAGGGACGGCUAAAUACGUG
rnacentral:rRNA from 1 species